AGCAGUGUGGUUUAGUGGAUAGAAUACUGGCCAGGAAAUCAGAAGGUCCUGGGUUCCAAUCCCAGUUCUGCCA
rnacentral:tRNA from 1 species